CCCCCGCAUCUCUCGCGUUAACGAACAUUCUUUCAUUUCUCUCACUUAUAUAUAUAUUUAUUGGUCUUCACACGCUCCCUCCCCAAGUGGAACAAUGCACGGGCUCAUUUCGGAUGGCGACAUCACGCCAGUCUUGUCAACUUUUUGUUUCCCCUCCCUGUAUGUUUUUUUUCCUGCACGCUCCAUUCGCUGCUUUCAAGAUAGAAGCACAAACCAGGAUUUAUUGUUUUUCUUAUUGACUUCAUUUUUACAACCAGUGCUCCUUCUUCUCUCGUUCAUUUUUGUAUUUUCCGUGCGUUUUUUUUUUGCGCGUAGAAAAGCAGCAAAGUGAGAAUCUGCAAUGAAGGCGUUUUCAUCCAUUCAGGUGCCUUUUUUUUUUACUUCAGCAUCCUGUUAAUUGGUGCGCGGUAGCUUUAUCUGUACGCGAGUGAAAGUAAAAAAUGUGUGUCUGUGACUAUGAGUGUGAGUGUCUGGCAGUAACUGCCGAAGCGUGCCACGGAAUUUGAGAGCUGUGCAUCGCAUUAAAAAAAAGAUUGCGCACACUCGUUAGGGUCCAUUUUCCCCCUUUUUUUUCCCCCCAUAUAUUGAAUUUUUUUCUUGGUCAGUCUGUUAGUUUGAAAAUAGUGUGCAAAGUAUUUCUAUAUUUAAUUUUUGGUUUAUGUUAUAUUGCCAUGAUUAUUGCACCUGAAUUAUGUCUUGAUUUAUUAAUAUAUUCACGUUUCCAUUUCUUUUUAGCUGAUUUAUUUCGUGUUAGAUUGGCCACACAUUCAUAAUUUAUUACAAAGAAAUAGUGUAUUAUUAUGUACAUCUUAAUAUAUUUGUGAUAGUAAUUAUGAUUGUAUUUUGUACUUGUGCAUUAUUCAUAUAUAUAUUUUUAGCACAUACAAAUGGUGUAAGAAAAAAACAAACAAAAAAAAACGGCAUGAUCUUUUAUGUCGUACUGUCAUAUAUUAUUAUUAUUCAAAGCAGUGUAUUUUCUCUGCGCGUGUGGAUUGCCUCUUUGCUGUCUGGUUCAAGUCCCCGUUAAACCGAAAGGGAUCGCUGUAGGCGCUGCUAAAGAGCGUGUGCGCGCGCGACUGAUAAUCACGUGGUUAAAAAAAAAAACCUGCAGCGCAAAAAGGGUGAAAAAAGAGUGAUGACGUUGGAGCGGAGAGGAGUGGAGGCAGCCUUUCCAAAAAGAAGGGAAAAGCGGAGGAGGGGAGGGCGAAACAAAAGCGAGUCGAGCGUCUAAUGAACAGAUGACAGCGCGGGACAGCAGCAUGAUGCUGACACAACAACAAGACUCACCGGAAUGGAACCCUUUAUUUAUUCUUAUAUUUGAAAGCACAAAUGCUAAUUGCAUUCAUCACACAGUUGAGAAUCGUGCCAACUGCACACACAGAUGUAUGGUGUUCAUCUGAUGGCGCCGCCCACCCUCAUGGGGCUGAAUGGCAGACUGCUGCGAUGCGCUAAGUGAUGAAAUGAUGACCCCAUUAUGAGAAGUGGCUCCAAAAUGAGGGGGUAUCGGCCAAAGAUUGCGGACCGCCGCCGCCACCGCCGCCAGUCUCCUCCUCCUCCUGCUGCUUGCCCCGCUGCACACACAAUGAUUGAUUUGCUUGAGAUGGAUCACAGGAAGCAGCUAUUGAUUUUUCCUCUCCCUGCCUAUAGUGUUUUAUGAAGAAAAUACUUAUUUACACUUGGGUGUUUUCCAGACUUACUCAAUAUCCACUUUUUGGGGGUAGGAUAAAGGAUCUAAUUGUCCUUGCUCAGUGACGUGACAAAUGACCUGUAAUAUUAUUUCAGUCGGGAGUCAAUAGGCGGGAUGACUAAAUGAAUAUUGAUUGGUUACAAUGAAGCCUUGAAUGUGGAUGGGAGCCUUCUGUCAGGACCUUGCAGUCAGCAUUCAGACUGAUGAUGCCCCGCGUACACUUACACUUGCAAAAUACAGUGAAAAGUCAGAGUUACACAAUUUUUUUUUUCUCACAAGAAAUUGUGGAAAUCAAUCAAUCCCUUUCAGGUUCAUACUGAACCCAACAUAAAACCUUUAUUGUUAAAGGAAUGUUUGAAGCAAUAUUGAUUUGAAACCUGCAAAAACAAACAAAAAAAAAAUACAGUAGUACAAAAACAAAAUCUGGCACUAGCAUCUGUAACUUAAAGAAUUUUAAACUUUUUAAUCCCUUACUCAUGACAUUUUAAACCUUUUGUUGACUUGUAUCAGUUAUCAACGAGAAAUGCCAGCUCACGACUCUACAGUUCAAGUUACAACCACCCACUGGGGUUUUCUAUUCUGCCUCUAAAAUUGUGUUUACUUGAUGCUGAAGUACACUGUAUGAAUUAUCUUUUGUUAUGCGCUGCAAUGGUCUUUACAAUUGGAUGAAAACAUUCCGCUAGACAUUAUUCACCUUUUGUCAGUAUGAACCAGUUAUAAAUCGUAAGCGCUGGCUCACGAUUUGGCAAAAUCAAACGACACCACACACUAUCGUUAACUAUUCUGUGUCUUAUUCCGUGGUUGCCUUAAGCUUUGACCAUUUCAAAAUAGCAAACGUGGGCAUAUUUUAAAGUGAAAGAAGUGUCACUUUUUUAUCACUACAUAACCGCAUGAAUGUGGGUCCACUAUCUGGCAAGCCUGAGGUCAUUUGCACUGUUAUUUAACAAUUUCUAGCAGAUUAUUAAGACUGAGCAAAAAGAAA